GAACGACUCAAACCCGAAGACUCAAAAGAUGAACUAAUCAAUUCUCCUUCCGGCUCAGACUGCAUAGGUUAACAUUACGGGGAUGUCACGUGAUGAACGAACGACUCAAACCCGAAGACUCAAAAGAUGAACUAAUCAAUUCUCUUUCCGGCUCAGACUGCAUAGGUUAACAUUACGGGGAUGUCACGUGAUGAACGAACGACUCAAACCCGAAGACUCAAAAGAUGAACUAAUCAAUUCUCUUUCCGGCUCAGACUGCAUAGGUUAACAUUACGGGGAUGUCACGUGAUGAACGAACGACUCAAACCCGAAGACUCAAAAGAUGAACUAAUCAAUUCUCUUUCCGGCUCAGACUGCAUAGGUUAACAUUACGGGGAUGUCACGUGAUGAACGAACGACUCAAACCCGAAGACUCAAAAGAUGAACUAAUCAAUUCUCUUUCCGGCUCAGACUGCAUAGGUUAACAUUACGGGGAUGUCACGUGAUGAACGAACGACUCAAACCCGAAGACUCAAAAGAUGAACUAAUCAAUUCUCUUUCCGGCUCAGACUGCAUAGGUUAACAUUACGGGGAUGUCACGUGAUGAACGAACGACUCAAACCCGAAGACUCAAAAGAUGAACUAAUCAAUUCUCUUUCCGGCUCAGACUGCAUAGGUUAACAUUACGGGGAUGUCACGUGAUGAACGAACGACUCAAACCCGAAGACUCAAAAGAUGAACUAAUCAAUUCUCUUUCCGGCUCAGACUGCAUAGGUUAACAUUACGGGGAUGUCACGUGAUGAACGAACGACUCAAACCCGAAGACUCAAAAGAUGAACUAAUCAAUUCUCUUUCCGGCUCAGACUGCAUAGGUUAACAUUACGGGGAUGUCACGUGAUGAACGAACGACUCAAACCCGAGGACUCGAGAGAUGAACUAAUCAAUUCUCUUUCCGGCUCAGACUGCAUAGGUUAACAUUACGGGGAUGUCACGUGAUGAACGAACGACUCAAACCCGAAGACUCAAAAGAUGAACUAAUCAAUUCUCCUUCCGGCUCAGACUGCAUAGGUUAACAUUACGGGGAUGUCACGUGAUGAACGAACGACUCAAACCCGAGGACUCGAGAGAUGAACUAAUCAAUUCUCUUUCCGGCUCAGGCUGCAUAGGUUAACAUUACGGGGAUGUCACGUGAUGAACGAACGACUCAAACCCGAGGACUCGAGAGAUGAACUAAUCAAUUCUCUUUCCGGCUCAGGCUGCAUAGGUUAACAUUACGGGGAUGUCACGUGAUGAACGAACGACUCAAACCCGAAGACUCAAAA